GUGACCUCAAAUCAGGUAGGACUACCCGCUGAACUUAAGCAUAUCAAUAAGCGGAGGAAAAGAAACUAACAAGGAUUCCCCUAGUAACUGCGAGUGAAGCGGGAAAAGCUCAAAUUUAAAAUCUGGCGGUCUUUUGGCUGUCCGAGUUGUAAUCUAGAGAAGUGUUAUCCGCGCUGGACCGUGUACAAGUCUCCUGGAAUGGAGCAUCAUAGAGGGUGAGAAUCCCGUCUUUGACAUGGACUGCCAGGGCUUUGUGAUGCGCUCUCAAAGAGUCGAGUUGUUUGGGAAUGCAGCUCAAAAUGGGUGGUAAAUUCCAUCUAAAGCUAAAUAUUGGCGAGAGACCGAUAGCGAACAAGUACCGUGAGGGAAAGAUGAAAAGAACUUUGGAAAGAGAGUUAAACAGUACGUGAAAUUGCUGAAAGGGAAACGCUUGAAGUCAGUCGCGUCAUCCAGGGAUCAACCUUGCUUUUGCUUGGUGCACUUCCUGGUUUGAUGGGUCAGCAUCAAUUUUGACCGUUGGAAAAAGGCUGAGGGAAUGUGGCAUCUUCGGAUGUGUUAUAGCCCUCUGUCACAUACAAUGGUUGGGAUUGAGGAACUCAGCACGCCGCAAGGCCGGGUUUUAAACCACGUACGUGCUUAGGAUGCUGGCAAUAUGGCUUUAAUCGACCCGUC
rnacentral:rRNA from 1 species